rfam:Otolemur garnettii contig055362, whole genome shotgun sequence.
UUUUUAGUAUUAGUAUGUUCCAUGCAAUAUUUGGGACAUACUGGUACUAAGA